GGAGGGAUAGCUCAAGUGUCAGAAUGCAUGCUUAGCAUGCAUGAGGUCCUGGGUUCACUCCUCAGUACUUCCU
rnacentral:tRNA from 1 species